ACAAAAGCUGUGACGGAAAACACUAGGCUUAACCUCAUUUUGUAGAGAGCUGUUGGACGGUGCGAAACAGUAUUGAGGAAAGCUGAACUCAUUCCCGAGCUAUCAGGAUGAAUACAAUAGUUCUGAUCGUUUAAGGCGCGUUACAGUCUUUCAAGAGGACGGCAAGAGCUGUCAAAUAGGGUGGUACCGCGAAUCUCUUCGUCUCUAUG
rnacentral:ncRNA from 1 species